rnacentral:rRNA from 1 species
GACGAACCGUGCGAACGUUGUUCGGAAUAACUGGGCAUAAAGGGCGCGUAGGCGGGCCACAAAGUCAGGGGUGAAAUCCCACGGCUCAAUCGUGGAAGUGCCUUUGAUACUGGUGGCCUGGAGGGAGGCAGGGGAGUGCGGAACUUCCGGUGGAGCGGUGAAAUGCGUAGAUAUCGGAAGGAACACCGGUGGCGAAAGCGGCGCUCUGGACCUCUACUGACGCUGAGGCGCGAAAGCCAGGGGAGCAAACGGG